UCUCAUUACAAACUGUAUGAACUCAGAAGUUUAAUCAUUGUGCCCCUGGCCUACUCAUCUUUAUUCUCGAUAAAACCACUGUUGUGAUCUGAUUCACAAAAUGGAAACUGAUACUUCUUGAUGGCAAUUAAAUGUAGCAAAAGAACAGGCUACAACAUGAAUCGUGAAGGGUCCUUGAGCAAAUAAAUCCGGGAGAGUAAUCAACACAUCAUUGAUUUGAACCAAGGUAAAAGCAGGUUUCAAGGGUUUUUGAACAAUCUUGGAUGGUUAGUAAGGGAUACGGAGGUUGGAGAUUACUUAUCAUGAGUAUGGAAUCAAACGCGAAUCGAAGCAAUUUGGAAGCGUUGGAAGUGUAAUCAGUUGAUGAUGAAUCGUAUGAGUGGCGAUGGUUGAGGUGGUAAUCAUGACGGCGACUUCCAUGGAGGCAGAGGGGAUGUUUGAAGUUGUAGUAAAUUAGGGUAUUUAGGAGGGGGAAAGAUAAGUGGGGAGGUGAAAUGACCGUUCUACCAUCAUGUGCAGUGCACAUGACAUAACUUAACUGAAAAUUAUAACUGGGUUUGCCCUAAAGGACAUGUGUAACAUUUUCAAACAUUAAGUACAAAAGUCAUCAAUUUUAAAGGUAAAGGAUAGCGCCUGAAAUUUGAGACAAACAUAAAGGACAAAACUUGUAAUUUACUCUUUUUUUAACUUGUAAAGAGUAUUGAAGAAAAUCCAAAGAGAAUAAUGCACUCUAAAGUGUGUAUUAGAAGUCAAUGAUAAAC
rnacentral:lncRNA from 1 species